rnacentral:rRNA from 1 species
ACGAACGCUUGCGGCGUGCCUAAGAAAUGCAAGUCGAGCGAGCUUAGGGCUUCGGCCCAAAAGCUGGCGGCGAACGGUCGAGUAACACGUGAGCAACCUGCCCCAAAGUGGGGGAUAGCCCGCCGAAAGGCGGAUUAAUACCGCGUGUGGCCGGCUCCGGGCAUCCGGAGUCGAUUAAAGCAGCAAUGCACUUUGGGAUGGGCUCGCGGCCUAUCAGCUAGUUGGUGAGGUAACGGCCCACCAAGGCUACGACGGGUAGCUGGUCUGAGAGGAUGGUCAGCCGGAUUGGGACCGAGAUACGGCCCAGACUCCUACGGGGGGCAGCAAUUAGGGAUCUUGCGCAAUGGGCGAAAGCCUGACGCAGCGACGCCGCGUGACUGACGAAGUCCUUCGGGAUGUAAAGGUCUUUUACCAGGGAAGAAGAACGUGACGGUACCUGGUGAAUAAGCCCCGGCUAACUACGUGCCAGCAGCCGCGGUAAUACGUAGGGGGCGAGCGUUGUCCGAAGUUACUGGGCGUAAAGCGCGCGUAGGCGGCCGCUUAAGUUGGAUGUGAAAUCCCACAGCUCAACUGUGGAACUGCAUCCAAAACUGGGCGGCUAGAGGAUGGAAGAGGGUAGUGGAAUUCCUGGUGUAGCGGUGAAAUGCGUAGAUAUCAGGAGGAACACCCGUGGCGAAGGCGGCUACCUGGUCCAUUUCUGACGCUGAGGUGCGAAAGCUAGGGGAGCGAACGGGAUUAGAUACCCCGGUAGUCCUAGCCGUAAACGAUGGAUACUAGGUGUAAGUGGUAUCGACCCCACUUGUGCCGAAGCUAACGCAUUAAGUAUCCCGCCUGGGGAGUACGGCCGCAAGGUUG